AGCAGUGUGGCACAGUGGUAAGGAGUAGGGCUCGUAACCAAAAUGUUGCUGGUUCAAUUCCCCAGUGGGGCACUGCUG
rnacentral:tRNA from 1 species